GGGCCCUCAGACUAGAACAUCUGUUCCUCUCUGAGUCUUCAGCUGCACGACCCUCAAUCUAGAACAUCAGCUCCUCCCUGAGUCUCCAACUGAAAGACCCUCAACGCGAACAUCAGCUCCUCCCCGAGUCUUCAGCUGCACGACCGUCAAACUAGAACAUCAGCUCCUCCCGAGUCUGCAGCUGCAAGACCCUCAAAUUACAACCUCAGCUCCUCCCCGUCUUCAGCUGCACGACUCUCAAACUAGAACAUCAACUCCUCUCCAGGUCUCCAGUUCCGUGACACUCAAUCUAGAACAUCAGCUCCUCCCUGAGUCUCCAACUGAAAGACCCUCAACGCGAACAACAUCAGCUCUUCCCCGAGUCUUCAGCUGCAUGACCCUCAAUCUAGAACAUCAGCUCCUCUCCGUGACUCCAGCUGCAAGACCCUCAAACUAAAACAUCAGCUCUUCUCCAGUCUCCAGUUCCGUGACACUCAAGCUAGAACAUCAGCUCCUCCCUGAGUCUUCAGCUGCACGACCGUCAAUCUAGAACAUCAGCUUCUCUCUGGGUCUCCAGCUGUAGGGUCCUCAAAAUAGAACAUCAGCUCCUCCCUGAGUCUCCAGCUGAAAGACCCUCAAAGUGAACAU